CGGUUUUGUACAUUGAUAAAUACAGCAUUGAAGCAUGACAUUCAGCAUGCGUCUCUUAUGCGGCCUUCACUACAAAGUCGUAUUUACAACCGAGAAAUUAUCCCAGAGGUUGGAAGGGAAGGGCGUGUCGAUGGGAAACAUGGCGCAAAACAGGUUGUGAGUCACCUGGGGAUUCCUGACUGUGCUUUCCCAUUGUUUCUCUGUCCUCUCUCUUGAGAGGUCUUUCCUCAAUCAUCUCUUUUAUACCCAUGAUGGAGAAGACUAGACAGAGAAAGGAAGAAGUUAGGAUGAGUGAGGAAGAAAACAGUGGAACGAAAUAAAAAAAAAAGGUCACAAGGCAGCAGAGGAGUGUCAUGCACCUGGUUUUAUUAUAUAUAUAUAUAUAUAUAGUAAAUAUCUGACUUUAAUGUGAAAUGAAAGUAUGAAAGAGUACAUUGAGUUGUGCUUGUACAGCACAAUGUCAAAAACAUACUAUGAUAUUCAGAAUAAAAUAAUGCCAUUCUGUUGUGGUUAGUUUCUUGCAUUUAACCAUUUAUUACUCUAUAUGCAACGUGUUUCAUGUGAAGGACAAAGCAAAGCCGGAUGCUUCUGUUGAGUCGUGUGAAGCCUCCUGAUUCUCAGCUUCUUCUCCUGAGAACACAACUGAAAUAAUGUGCCCUUCUAGAGUUUCAGUUCAAUUAUAUUUGUAUAGUGGUUUUCAUAAUAAAUGUUGUUCCAAAGCAGCUUUACAGAAAAUAGAAGAAUAAAGAAGAUAAAAGGGGAAGAAAAUAAUGCCUUGCAACCCCCCAGUGAUCAAGUUAGAUAAUAUUCUAGCUGUAUCAUAAACUGUGCUCCGAUUUGCCAAGAUAACAAAGUUUGCAAUUUCAGAGAUUUCAAUACCUUGAACAUAUCUUAUUGUAGCUUCAAAUAUUUCAAAUGAUCUGGAAUAUGCUUCAAACUAUGCAUCUUACAACUGUAUUCUUUCUAAAUGCUGUUUUUUUUUAUUUACAUUUGUCUCACUCAUUUCAGUUUCUUUUGUUGUAAGUACAUUUAGAGAGAAAAAAAAAAAAAAAAAUCAUCUGAGAGUAAGCUAAUAAAGAGCCGUUCACCCAAAACUUGAUGAUUUGCAUUAUUCGCUCAUAAUGCUAUUCCAAACCCAACUACUGCAUAUUUUGGUGAAUCUUUACUUUUCUAUGCAACAGCAAUUCAUAGUGACCACAGCUGUGAAGCUCUAAAACAUACAAAACACAUAAUUAAAGUAGUCCGUAUGACUCAUGCCCUGUUCCAAAUGAUAGCAUUGCGUGACAACCAGAGCAGAUUUUAAUUGUUAUUAUUCACUGAAUGCCAUUAUGAGGCUCUAAAAUCUCAUUCUCCAUUGCAUGUAUUUCUUCACAUAUGAUAAAUCUUGUGUGAAACACCAUUUUUGGAUCUGAAUGUUGCAAAUGAGAUUCUAGAGCUUCGGCGUAGGUGAAGAGUAACUGUAUAUCUUCCUACGUUGUAGUCUGUUCAUUAACCAAAACCGUCAUAUUGCUUCAGAAAACACUGAAUAUUCUGCAUAAACUAUGGGCUAUGUUUAUGAUGCUUGUACUGUUUCUUUUUUCUUUAUAUAUAUACAUAUAUAAUUGAUAGUUUUGUACACUGUAAAAUCUAAUAAGUUGGGCUUACUUAAAAAAAGUAUGCAAACUGAUUGCCUUGAAAAAACUAAGUAAAGUGAAAUAGGAAUAGUAUGUUGUACUGACAAAUGCUUAGUUAGUAUAGUUAACUUACACAAGAGUUCUAGUAACUAAAAAAGAACUGUAGGGGGUACUUGAUCCUUUCAUUUAGGUUACUCACGACUUAGUAUAGCUACUCACUGACUCCCAGAAUGCAUUGCGCAGAAUAAAUUAUGCAGUUGCUUUGUUUUACAGUUGUUGUUUUUAUUUGCUGUCUUGUGUCAGUAGUAGCACAACAAAAAGAGCAAAUAAAAUGGCUAUUGUUACAAUUAAUGAAAAUAAAUUAAACUUAAUUGUUACCAUUGUUGUGAUUCACGUGAUGAAUGUUUAAGUCUGUGUGCGACUUCAGCAUAUUACCACACACUAUUUAACGAUUAUCUAAAAAGCAUAUCAAGGUAUUUAUGAAAAAUAAAAUCUCAAAAAUGUCAUUAUUAAACGCACACAGAAAAAUGCUUUAAUUAAAAAAUAGGUCAUUUUAUAAAAGCAACCUAUUUAUUACUUCUCUUUGAAAUCAAAUAACUCUGAUUUCAUGAUGCAUUGCUGCAUUAACAGAAAGAAAAUUAUAGUAACAUAAAUGAAGUUUCAAGUGCCCAACCAAAGGGAACGCUAUAAUGGUGAGCUAAAAAAAAAAAAAACGGCAAUUAGCAACAUAUUAGUGCACUGCUGCCUCUCACUGAUUUAUUAAUGUCAUUGGUUCCUUUGUGGCUACUUGAAUAUUUUAAGUAAGUGUCACUCAAAACAGUAAGUAAAUUGUUUUAUUUGCCUUGAAAGUAGCUGAAACUUAAUAAAACCUAGUAAGUAUAACAACUAAGUAAAGAUAACUAAUUAAAUCUAAGUACGGUAAACUAUUGGAUUUUACAGUGUAUGUAAAGGUAUCUUAUGUGCACAUUCGAAAUUUAAACUUAGUAUGUGUGUUAGAUAAAUAAAUGUGUAUGUAUAAAUAGUGUUGUGUAUUCCAACACUUAAUGGUCAAAAUAUGUCUUGAAUUAUUCUGUAAUGCUAUAGAUUUGCCAUGUUGCUUUGACAUGUUUUAUUUGCGGUUCCCAGCAGAUUUUGUGGUCUGAAGUCACACCAAGAAGUGUAUUUUCAUAUACUCUCUCCAUACUUAUGUUGUCAGUUUUCAAUUCUACUUUAACUGAAACAUAGCGGAAACUCGAUUAAGUCUCCUGAGCUAUAAAACAUCAGAAAAAGCUUCCUCUGAAAGGGUAUGCUUUUUCCAAAUCGUGCUCUCUUCUUCUUUUGUCUGUCUCUUAUUGCUGUACUCUUUCUUCUUAUCCCUCCAUCACUCUCUAACUUAGCCAGUCAUCUCCAGUGUGUCUCCGUUUAAUCCCCGAUCGCUUUAACUUGAAGGAUCAGUCACACCACAUGAGCCGUUAGCUCUCCUUUUAUCCCGCUAAUUGUCUCCCUUCGUCACAAAACGAGCGCUGUGUCAAAGUCAUUUUAAUAAUGUGAUUAGCAGCUAGCGAUCCUCCUUUACACUCCUUUCUCCUUCUCCAUUUUCUUCCCUUUAUCCCUGUGCAAAGGCAAAAAGUUCUUAAUUUGACG
ensembl:lncRNA